rnacentral:rRNA from 1 species
AGCAGCAGCCACGGGAAUACGUAGGUGGCAAGCGUUGUCCGGAAUUAUUGGGCGUAAAGGGCUCGCAGGCGGUUUCUUAAGUCUGAUGUGAAAGCCCCCGGCUCAACCGGGGAGGGUCAUUGGAAACUGGGAAACUUGAGUGCAGAAGAGGAGAGUGGAAUUCCACGUGUAGCGGUGAAAUGCGUAGAGAUGUGGAGGAACACCAGUGGCGAAGGCGACUCUCUGGUCUGUAACUGACGCUGAGGAGCGAAAGCGUGGGAAGCGAACAGGAUUAGAUACCCGCGUAGUCCCUGUCUCUUAUAC